rnacentral:lncRNA from 1 species
GACCUAAACUUGUGGGAUGAAAACUUGAUCUGAAGUCUAAGUUGUUAACGGAUAUGAUAUGGGAAGGUUGAGCUGCUGUUUAUCUGUUCCUAGAGAUGCUAGAAUUCUGGAGAAUUUUAUCUUUGAAAAUCUUUAAAAUGUUGCAUGAUGAGUUCCUGUAUGAUGAGAGUUUAAAUUCCUACCACAGCCAUAUAUACAUGCUUGCUAGACUUUGAGCCACACAUUUAAUAUUUACUGCUUAUGAGCAUUGAGUGUGGUCCAGCUGUGUAGACCCUUAGGAGCUUGUCAUGUGGUUAAAUCAAGAUUCACUUGCACGUUCACUCAUAUAUGCUACUUCUACUCUGGAAGUACCAUCCACAUAUAUCCAUUCAUUUCCAUCUCCAGAACCACCUAAAAAUAUUCUACUCCUAAUCCGGGAGAGAAUAACCAAAAAUAUUUCUAUUUUCCCCUUGUGAAAUAAAUGCUCAAGUUAUCUUGUUACUACCACUUGCUAUAUUAUCUCAAGAGAUGAGUGCUCUAAAAAAGAAAAGAGAGAUACGAGUAAAUAAAAAGGAGCAAGUGCUCGGAACCUCAAAAGAAAAGAAAAAGUGAGACGAGAGGUAAAAAUGGACAAGUGUCCGACAGUAGAAUUAGGGGUGCAAGAUACCCACCUAAAAAAAAAGAAGAGCAUCUCAUUCUCCUCAUAAAGUUUCAAAAGCAAGGAAGAUAUGUAUCCCCUCAAAAGAGCAAAGUAGAAUUAGACUUCCACCACCAUUGUUUUCACCAUUGUUAUCAUCAUCACCACCAUACACCAUUCAUUCGCCACCCAUGCACAUCUUGAUUAAACUUAUUGGCUUGUUACUUUGGAUCCAUGGUUUGACUAUACAAUAAAUGUCUUGUAAGUAUGUAUAUUUUAUCUCCCACCUAUGAGCUCCAGAUAUUAAAGCCUUAUUAGAGUAGGGUGAGAGAGAAGGCAAUGUCACUAUGCCUCAUACCACAAAUACCACAUAUCUUGAGAGAAGGCAUAUACCAUCAAUGCCUUGGUGAGGAUCCAAAAAUACCACAAAAGAGAGAUCUGAGAGAAUCAUACAAGGAAUCUCUGAGUUUUAUUUGAAAAUCUGCAAAAACCCCAGAGCUAUAGCUGAUCAAGAAUAAGAGACAUGGCACUUGGCUCGACUGUUCUAUCUUUUAACCACUC